CUAUAUACUAAAGCUCCUACACUGUUCAUUAAACAGUGAUUUGGCUUCAAGUGGUUGGACCAUUUUGCCGUCGCUUCAAAUUUUUUUUUUUCGGGCUCUACCUCGGAUCUGGAUAUCUUCGCAUUGUUUUGCUCUUUCUUCUACAAUCUUCUGACCAUCUUUAUCAAUUGUUGAGAGAGAGAGAGAGAGAGAGAGAUCGGUUGUGUGUGUUUGCUUCGCACGAGGAGGUAGAGAGAUAGAUCGGAGGGAAAGUUUGAAUCCUCAAUCCGGGUUUAGAGAUAGAGAGAGUUAGAGAGAUCGGUUGUGUUUGUUUGCUUCGGACGAGGAGGUAGAGAGAUAGAUCGGAGGAAAAGUUUGAAUCUUCAAUCCGACCACAAUAAAGUUCCUUGGUUUGCUGAGUUCUUCUUUGGUUUGAUCAAAGGCUGUGGUUUUGGUAGAUUUCGACAGAGUGAGGAUUGCAGAGAGGCUGUGCGCACAUUAGCAAAGCAGAGCAACUGGUGGAGUUCAAUGCAGCUCCACGUUUUAUUCUAUACUUAUUUUGGCUAGGAAAACAUAGAUAUUUUGGUAUCUGUUUUGCUUGCAUUGUGAUGUGGGUAUCUGUCUUGCUUUGGACUGAAUUUUUUUUUGUCAUAAUUCUAGCUCUGAAAUCUUAGAAUAAAAGUACCAAAAGCCAUCUCUGGAAUCGUAUAAUUGUCAAUACUGAGUGACUACAUUUUGUAUCCAUUAGUAUUCAAAUGUAAUAUACAUGAUUAUUCAAAAUUAGGUCACUUUAAAACAAAUUGCAAACAACGAUUGCUCCGCAGCAAAUCGCGGGCACAUUU